rnacentral:rRNA from 1 species
UACGGAGGGUGCAAGCGUUAAUCGGAAUUACUGGGCGUAAAGCGUGCGCAGGCGGUUGUGCAAGACAGAUGUGAAAUCCCCCGGGCUUAACCUGGGAACUGCAUUUGUGACUGCACGGCUAGAGUGUGUCAGAGGGAGGUAGAAUUCCACGUGUAGCAGUGAAAUGCGUAGAGAUGUGGAGGAAUACCGAGUGGCGAAGGCAGCCUCCUGGGAUAACACUGACGCUCAUGCACGAAAGCGUGGGGAGCAAACAGG